rnacentral:rRNA from 1 species
UACAGAGGAUGCAAGCGUUAUCCGGAAUGAUUGGGCGUAAAGCGUCUGUAGGUGGCUUUUUAAGUCCGCCGUCAAAUCCCAGGGCUCAACUCUGGACAGGCGGUGGAAACUACCAAGCUGGAGUACGGUAGGGGCAGAGGGAAUUUCUGGUGGAGCGGUGAAAUGCAUAGAGAUCGGAAAGAACACCAACGGCGAAAGUACUCUGUUGGGCUGACACUGACACUGAGGCGCGAAAGCGUGGGGAGCAAACAGG